GUUUGAUCCUGGCUCAGGAUGAACGCUAGCGGCAGGCUUAACACAUGCAAGUCGAGGGGUAUAGUUCUUCGGAACUAGAGACCGGCGCACGGGUGCGUAACGCGUAUGCAAUCUACCUUUCACAGAGGGAUAGCCCAGAGAAAUUUGGAUUAAUACCUCAUAGUAUGUAUGAAUGGCAUCAUUUAUAUAUUAAAGUCACAACGGCAAAAGAUGAGCAUGCGUCCCAUUAGCUAGUUGGUAUGGUAACGGCAUACCAAGGCGACGAUGGGUAGGGGUCCUGAGAGGGAGAUCCCCCACACUGGUACUGAGACACGGACCAGACUCCUACGGGAGGCAGCAGUGAGGAAUAUUGGACAAUGGGCGCAAGCCUGAUCCAGCCAUGCCGCGUGCAGGAUGACGGUCCUAUGGAUUGUAAACUGCUUUUGCACAGGAAGAAACAUCCCGACGUGUCGGGACUUGACGGUACUGUGAGAAUAAGGAUCGGCUAACUCCGUGCCAGCAGCCGCGGUAAUACGGAGGAUCCAAGCGUUAUCCGGAAUCAUUGGGUUUAAAGGGUCCGUAGGCGGUCUUAUAAGUCAGUGGUGAAAUCUCCCCGCUCAACGGGGAAACGGCCAUUGAUACUGUAGGACUUGAAUUAUUAGGAAGUAACUAGAAUAUGUAGUGUAGCGGUGAAAUGCUUAGAGAUUACAUGGAAUACCAAUUGCGAAGGCAGGUUACUACUAAUGGAUUGACGCUGAUGGACGAAAGCGUGGGUAGCGAACAGGAUUAGAUACCCUGGUAGUCCACGCCGUAAACGAUGGAUACUAGCUGUUGGGAGCAAUCUCAGUGGCUAAGCGAAAGUGAUAAGUAUCCCACCUGGGGAGUACGUUCGCAAGAAUGAAACUCAAAGGAAUUGACGG
rnacentral:rRNA from 1 species